UUUUUAAUCUCGCUUUCCAGCCUUCCUUUAAUGAGGUCAAAGACUACAGACAGACCUAUAGAUUUUGGCUUCAUCUGAGGACACGGAAUUCAAACAUCCAGGUGGAGAAACCGAGGCUUAAAGAGAUCAAGAGGCUGCCCACACUUACACAGCUGCUAAGGGACAAGGAACUUCGUGUUCUUCCUGUCAUGGGUAUUGACGUGUCCCUGAGGGUUUCUCAGCCUCCUGAUGACCCCGGCAUGGCAUACCCGAAGCCUCAGUUUCCUCCUCUGCAAAAUGGAGGCAAUAAUGGUAUCUACCUCAUAGGAAUCGAUGAGAAACAUUUGGCCCAGCAUAUGACUCAUAAUAAACAUUUAAUUAUUAUUUCCUGUGAGUAUUGUGGCUGCUGCUGCAUUAUCAUCAUUAUGAUUGGUGCUCAAGAUGAAAGUCAAUAACAGUA